AGCUCACGUCGCGCGCGCGAGCCCGGAAUCCGGAAGCGGAGGAGAGCGGGCCCCGGGGCGCCGGGAGUCCCAGGCGAUCCUGGAGGGCAGGUGGGCCUCCCCCUGCUUUGCUGCUGCCUUGCCUCCUCCUUGCGCAGUCGGCGCACCAGGGCCCUCUCCCGAAAGCGGAUGCGAAGCGGCGUCUGGAGAGGGUCCCGCGGUACCCACGUGACGAACAGUGCCGGAGCCCGUCGGACCGUCCCCGGCCUGCAGGGACAUGGGCGUGCUCAGAGCUGGACUGUGCCCGGGCCUCACCCAGGAGAUGGUCCAGCUUCUGAAGAGCCGUGGCAUCAAGACAGUGGUGGACCUGGCUGCGGCAGACCUGGAGGAGGUAGCUCAGAAGUGUAGCUUGUCAUACAAGGCCCUGGUUGCCCUGAGGCGUGUGUUGCUGGCUCAGUUCUCAGCUUUCCCUUCCAAUGGCGCGGAUCUCUAUGAGGAAAUGAAGACCUCCACUGCCAUCCUGUCCACCGGCAUUGGAAGCUUGGACAAACUGCUUGAUGCUGGUCUGUAUACAGGAGAAGUGACUGAAAUUGUAGGAGGCCCAGGUAGUGGCAAAACCCAGGUAUGUCUUUGUGUGGCUGCAAAUGUGGCCCAUGGCCUGCAGCAAAACGUCCUAUACAUUGAUUCUAAUGGAGGGCUGACAGCUUCUCGCCUCCUCCAGCUACUUCAGCCUAGGACCCAGGAUGAAGAGGAACAGGCAAGAGCUCUCCAGAGGAUCCAGGUGGUGCGUGCAUUUGACAUCUUUCAGAUGCUGGAUGUGCUGCAGGACCUCCGAGGCACUGUGACCCAACAGCUUACUUGGAAUGGAGAGCUUGUUUCUGACCAGCUUCUGAUGGAUGUGCAAGCUUGUCCUGCAACGGGUGCCCUGCCCAAGAGGCCACUGGUUCAUAGUGGCUGCUUCCCCCAAAUCCCUCCAGGUGAGGUGUUCUUCAGGGACUGUGAAGGUGGUGAUUGUGGACUCGGUCACUGCAGUGGUCUCCCCACUUCUGGGAGGUCAGCAGAGAGAUGGCUUGGCCUUGAUGAUGCAGCUGGCCCGAGAGCUGAAGACCCUGGCCCGGGAGCUCAGCAUGGCAGUGGUGGUGACCAACCACAUGACCCGGGACAGGGACAGUGGUAAGUUCAAACCUGCUCUUGGACGUUCCUGGAGCUUUGUGCCCAGCACCCGAAUUCUUCUGGACAUAAUUGAGGGUACAGGAGCAUCAGGCAGCAGCCAGCGCACAGUGUCUCUGACCAAGUCUCCACGUCAGCCAACAGGGUUCCAGGAAGUGGUGGACAUUGGGACCUGGGAGACUCCAGAGCAGAGCCCAGUGUUUCAGGGAGAGCAGACAUGACUGAUGCUGUUGAUUGGGACAGGAGGAGGCAUCACAGUCCCCUACCUUUCCUUCUUAGUAAUGUUGCUGUUUACUGCCAGCCUGCACCUGGGACUGCAGAAGUUCUCAGACUGGCCCAAAGAACAGGCUCAGUUUCCUGAGCUUCAAUCUCUAUGGAGACUCUUAGAGCCACAGGCCAAGAGAAAGCUGCCGUGGAGGAUGCACAGGUCCAUGCUGGUGCCACAUUUCCUCCCUCUGCAUCCACUUUCUAUAUUUCCAAUGGAAGCUGAGUUCACCCUGGGCAUCACUGCAGAGGCCAUACUAGUAAAUGGAAGAAUACUCCUGUGUAUCACCAUCAGAUCUUGUGCUCAGUCCUAGCACAAUGAUCGGGCCAGAGAGCCACUAGCUUGCCUCCCUCUCUUCCUCUUUUUUUUGUCUCUGUUUUUCCAUCUGUAGGAUGGGCUUCCUUUCCCGUCAGCUGCCUCUGAGUUACUGGAUGGAAAUAACCUCAUAAAUGCAAAAAUAAUUCUUCAUCUAGGUUCUUCUCUUAAAAGUAUAUGUAAAAGACAAUUCCCUGAGCUCCAGAACCACCCCCCCAAGGUUGUUUUUCAGUUUCUCCCAGUAAAGCCCCCAAAGAAUGAUUAUUCCUUUGCUCCUGCUGAUUUGGUUUCACACACCUGCAUGCAUCACCAUGACUAGAAUGUGAGCUUGCUGCUGUCCCAGGGAUAUAAUUUAACAAGAAGGAAGGCAAUGACCUGCUCCUGGUGAAUCCAGCCACUUGUUUAAUAUGCAUGGUGCCCUGUGGGGCCCUUCCACAGUAUAGAGUAACCAGAGGUGCUGAACCGUGGCCUUGCCCACAAACAGACAGGAGAAUUUGCACAAUAAAUACAGCCAGCUGGGAAAAUUGAUGCUAGUGUAAAUAAUACAUGGCAAACCUAGUCCUUUAUGCAGAAAUUCAUUGCUGGUGGCUCCAAGAUGCAAUAUAAUUACACCUCUUCCUGCCAGCUGUACCACAGCCUUGUUCCUUAGUGUAUGAAAUAAAGCCGCCCCCACCCCCCUCA